AACCUAGCACACCUGCGGUGUGUACCUGCGGAGGGAUCAUUACCGAGUUAGGGUGUCUGUUCGCAGCGCCCGACCUCUCAACCCUUUGUCUAUGAUACCUAAACAGUUGCUUCGGCGUGCCGAGGGGUCGUACCCUCGCCGGGCCUCACGGCCGGGAGCGCGCACGUCGACGGCCUUUAUCUAACACUUGAACCCAAAACCUGUCGUCUGAAAACUUGUGAUUAACCAAUAAUCAAAAAC
rnacentral:misc_RNA from 1 species